UAGCUUUGCUGAGGUNUCGGGGUGUGU
rnacentral:piRNA from 1 species